UGGGGAAUAUUGCACAAUGGAGGGAACUCUGAUGCAGCGACGCCGCGUGAACGAAGAAGGCUUUCGGGUCGUAAAGUUCUUUUAUAGGGGAAGAUAAUGACGGUACCAUAAGAAGAAGCCCCGGCUAACUACGUGCCAGCAGCCGCGGUAAUACGUAGGGGGCUAGCGUUGUCCGGAAUGACUGGGGGUAAAGGGUUCGCAGGCGGAAAUGCAAGUCAGGUGUAAAAGGCAGUAGCUUAACUACUGUAAGCAUUUGAAACUGCAUGUCUUGAGAAGAGUAGAGGUAAGUGGAAUUUUUAGUGUAGCGGUGAAAUGCGUAGAUAUUAAGAAGAAGACCGGUGGCGAAGGCGACUUACUGGGCUCAUUCUGACGCUGAGGAACGAAAGCGUGGGUAGCAAACAGG
rnacentral:rRNA from 1 species